rnacentral:rRNA from 1 species
AGCGAACGCUGGCGGCAGGCCUAACACAUGCAAGUCGAGCGCGCCCUUCGGGGUGAGCGGCGGACGGGUGUGUAACGCGUGGGAACGUGCCCUUCUCUGCGGAAUAGCCUCGGGAAACUGAGCGUAAUACCGCAUACGCCCUUUGGGGGAAAGGUUUAUCGGGGAAGGUUCGGCCCGCGUUGGAUUAGGUUGUUGGUUGGGUAAUGGCACACCAAGCCGACGAUCCAUAGAUGGUUUGAGAGGAUGAUAAGCCACACUGGGACUGAGACACGGCCGAGCCUACUACGGGAGGGAGGAGAGGGGAAUAUUAGAAAAUGGGGGCAAACAAGAACGAGCCAUGACGGGAGAGAGAUGAAGGCCGUAGGGAAGUAAAGCAAAUUAAGCUGGGAAGAUAAUGACGGUACCAGCAGAAGAAGCACCGGCUAACUCCGUG